rnacentral:rRNA from 1 species
UAGGGAAUAUUGCACAAUGGAGGAAACUCUGAUGCAGCGACGCCGCGUGAGUGAUGAAGGCCUUCGGGUCGUAAAGCUCUGUCGCAGGGGAAUAAGAAAGUGAAUGUACCCUGUAAGAAAGGGUCGGCUAACUUCGUGCCAGCAGCCGCGGUAAGACGAGGGAUCCUAGCGUUGUUCGGAAUUAUUGGGCGUAAAGCGGGUGUAGGUGGCUUUGUAAGUCAGGUGUGAAAUCCCAGGGCUCAACCCUGGACGUGCAUUUGAUACUGCAGAGCUUGAGUGUAGGAGAGGAUAGUAGAAUUCCUGGUGUAGUGGUGAAAUACGUAGAUAUCAGGAGGAAUACCGGAGGCGAAGGCGGCUAUCUGGCCUAACACUGACACUCAGACCCGAAAGCGUGGGGAUCAAACA